rfam:Caulobacter sp. K31, complete genome.
GUGGCGGGCCGGGCCCCUCUGGCGAGUGAUGCAAGCACUCGUGAUGUCGGACCGCAUCG